AACGAACGCUGGCGGCAUGCCUAACACAUGCAAGUCGAACGAGACCUUCGGGUUUAGUGGCGCACGGGUGCGUAACGCGUUGGAACCUGCCCUUAGGCUCGGAAUAACUUCCCGAAAGGGGUGCUAAUACCGGAUAAUGUCUUCGGACCAAAGAUUUAUCGCCUUUGGAUGGGCCCGCGUUGGAUUAGCUGGUUGGUAGGGUAAAAGCCUACCAAUGCGACGAUCCAUAGCUGGUUUGAGAGGAUGAUCAGCCACACUGGGACUGAGACACGGCCCAGAAUCCUACGGGAGGCAGCAGUGGGGAAUAUUGGAAAAUGGGCGAAAGCCUGAACCAGCAAUGCCGCGUGAGUGAUGAAGGCCUUAGGGUUGUAAAGCUCUUUUACCCGGGAUGAUAAUGACAGUACCGGGAGAAUAAGCUCCGGCUAACUCCGUG
rnacentral:rRNA from 1 species